CUAAUGGAGAGGGAGAAUUC
rnacentral:snRNA from 1 species